rfam:Glycine soja cultivar W05 scaffold1374_30, whole genome shotgun sequence.
UCAUGAAUUCAGAAUUAGUUCUGUAACUUAUUUGAUUGGUCAAUGAAAACAACAAUGCAUUUCAUCUUUUAUGAAAUUAAUAUCCAAUCAGAAUAUGACACGUGAUAAUUAUUAUUC